AACGCACAUUGCGCCUCCCGGCAUUCCGGGAGGCAUGCCUGUUCGAGCGUCAUUAAAAGCCAUCAGGCGAGCUUGUCUCGCCUGGUUCUGGGGGAUGGUCUGCCCUCCGGGGAGCCCACCCCCGAAAUCCAACGGCGGACAACCCACCCGUGGAACUGCGGCGUAGUAUGUUAAUUCUUUCGCCAGCAUCCAUGGAGGGAUCAUCCUGCCGGUUGCAAAACCCCCCCACAUCCAAUGGUUGACCUCGGAUCAGGUAGGGAUACCCGCUGAACUUAA
rnacentral:misc_RNA from 1 species